CCUACGGGUGGCAGCAGUGGGGCAUAUUGCACAAUGGGGGAAACCCUGAUGCAGCGACGCCGCGUGAGUGAAGAAGUAUUUCGGUACGUAAAGCUCUAUCAGCAGGGAAGAAAAUGACGGUACCUGACUAAAAAGCCCCGGCUAACGACGUGCCAGCAGCCGCGGUAAUACGUAGGGGGCCAGCGGUAUCCGGAUUUACUGGGUGUAAAGGGAGCGUAGACGGCAGCGCAAGUCUGGAGUGAAAUCACAUGACUUAACACUGGAACUGCUUUGGAAACUGGGCAGCUAGAGUGCAGGAGAGGUAAGCGGAAUUCCUAGUGUAGCGGUGAAAUGCGUAGAUAUUAGGAGGAACACCAGUGGCGAAGGCGGCUUACUGGACUGUAACUGACGUUGAGGCUCGAAAGCGUGGGGAGCAAACAGGAUUAGAUACCCUUGUAGUC
rnacentral:rRNA from 1 species